rnacentral:rRNA from 1 species
CCCUUAGAUGUUCUGGGCCGCACGCGCGCUACACUGAUGCAUUCAACGAGUCUAAAACCUGGUCUGAGAGGGCUGGGUAAUCUUUUGAAAGUGCAUCGUGAUUGGGAUAGAUGAUUGCAAUUCUUCAUCUUCAACGAGGAAUGCCUAGUAAACGCAAGUCAUCAGCUUGCAUUGAUUACGUCCCUGCCCUUUGUACACACCGCCCGUCGCUCCUACCGAUUGAACGAUCCGAUGAAAACUGUGGAUUGAGAGUCUGAGUGGGUUCGCCUACCUCAACUUUCGAGAAGCGGUUUAAAUCUUAUCGUUUAGAGGAAGGAGGAGUCGUAACA